CCGAGUGGUGGCGUGAGCCCGGCAACAACGAAUAAAGAGGGCAGAGCGGUGCCCCCCUGUGAACACCUCGUCUCCGGCUGACUGUGUGGCCGACGCGCGCCACCCGCACGAACAGACGGCACUACACGUUCUUUGAAUCCACGUUCCCCUUUCUCGAGUUAUCUCCGUGCGUUCAUCUCUCCACGCCCCUUUGCACGAAACGAACAGCUUGCUGGGAAAUUAAUGGGCUCGGCAACCUGCAUCUCCGCAGCCGCGUGCGGCUCUUUGAGGGACUGCUUCGUGACCUGUAUUUAUUAAGGGCCCACCAUCCCGUAUUCACCACGUGCAUUGCGGGCUGGGUGACCACCGAGGCUUGCCAGGAGUUGUAGGUGUGGUGCUGUGAUUUAUUACUGCGUGCCGAGCCGGGGAGUUCGCUCCAGCGAUGAUGGAGGGGGCGCGAGAGCAUGCCAUGUUUCCACGCUGGGAUAUCGCGGCCUGGGCGGAGGAACUGGGGCAAGGGUCACGGUAGACCUCGUGGGGAAGCCCCUAGAACCCUCUGGAGGGUUCGAGAAGGGAGGCGUGGCCUGGGCGGAGCCAAGCCGCGCCGAGGGGAAUAAAAACAGGGGAGAGCGGGGAGCUCCGGGCUGUCAGUUCUGGGAUUGGACUCGCUUUAUCGUCGCCACCGCCGCCUUCGCCCGAUCAUCGCGUGGCCGGACAGCUGUUAGCUGUCCCGGUCGACACCGUCGGUGCAACGUGGACAAGGUCGUGUCUGGGCCGGGCCGGGCCAUGUGGCAGCGUGGUCGUGGUCGAGAGAGAGAGGGGGCCCGAGUGGUGGCGUGAACUCGACAACAAUAUAAGGGGAGGACGGUGACUCCUGUGACUACCUUGUCUCCGACUGAGUGUGUGUGCGAUGCACGCCACCCGCACACACACACAAGCCUCGAGCAAAAGGAAGAGGAGACCUACGACACUACACAUACAUACAUAGAAAAUGCCCGCAAGCAGUGCGCACUGAAAGCUUGAGAGAAGAAAUGCCCAACACGCAGCCGAACCCAACCCAAAUAAGAAUUUCCGUAAAAAAAUAUCCCUCAAUAUUUAAAGAGCCAUCAAUGCAAUGUGAAUACGAAACGGUGGUCCUUAGUAAAACAAACGUCACGAAGCGGUACUUAAAGAGCCAACCCCUGCCCAUGACAGACACAACAUGGGGAGCUCUUCAUGCAGCAGUGGAUAGACCAAGAGCUUUAAAUUAUCAUUCUUAGUUAGCAUAGUACACAGGAACGCCGGGCAACACAUACUUGAGAUGUGAAUUAUAAACGCAUUCUGAAGCUACUAAAAAACAAUUCCACUGCAAUGAAAAUGUAGAAUGACAUAUUUGCAUGUGCGACAACAAUGGGAACACCGAAUUGCAGUGUCGACAAGGGUAAAUUGUGGGACGGUCAUCAUUGACGAAAGAAACGAUGGCCAUGACAAUAGCCUAACAUAGCGUGCAUCUCAUUCAAGUCCAUGUUAAUUAUCGACUGGCAGCGUUAGUAAUGGAAAUUAAUAGCGGCAUAUGCACAACAAGAACGCCACGCGGGUUGCCCGUCAAGCAUACGGCAAUGCGAUCGUUUCAAAAGAAGCUGACAUGUCAGAUUAUGUUAAAAAAAAUUGAACGACAAUGUAGUUCUCACGGAUGAUGUUGAGUAAUUAUUUCAUCACAGUACCGCGAAUCAUCCGUGUGGGGUUGCAUUGCCUUAGCCGAACGGCUUUUCAAUGAGCCCAAAUUUUGUAACUUAUACAGUCGUUUUCUUUUCUCUUGCCAUUGUCCCAUUACCUGUUAUUUUGUUGUCUGCGUUACCUGCUAUAGCACGUGCAUGUAAACAUGGCAAUACGUUGAGCGAGGCUGGGAAUGUGAUAAGUGCACAAAUCAGCAUAUAUCGGCGCCCUACUUCAAAUUACACUGAGAAACAGAAAGAGACACAUGCAGAUUAGUCAGUGCGUGCAGGUUAGAGACAUUGCGUUCAAACUGUUGAGAAAAGUAAUUGGGCAGGGCAUGCCAUCUUUGCUAAAUUCGUACGAGAAAUCAAUGCCAAAUGGCUCAGCAACAAUAAAAAACGAUUGUACCAACAUUUUGUCCCAUGCCAUUGGCUCUUAGUAAAAUGUCGAUCACGUCGGCGCUUAAAUUGAGACUUUAUUUCAACCCUGGCCAAUUUAAUGUCAUGAGUCAGCAUAACUGACCACACCCGUGUUCCAUUUCUCAAGUGACUGAGUGUGUUUAGAACGCAAUGCACGGGGUUCUGCAGAGUCAUGUUGAAUAAAUGUUAGUAGGAAGUGAGACAUAUUUAAUCAAGCUCGACUACGGCUUCAACAUCAAAGCCCUCCAUUCAAUCACCUCUACAAAUAUAUUUUUGUCAUCACUGUCUAAGCCACCAGGCGAACUCCAGUCAUCCUCGCAGCAGCCGCUUUUGGCUGGCCAUUGAACAAAGAUGAUCACCGCAGCACGCGCUUUCAGGUGCACUUCUGCGGUCGUCUGGAACGCUCUUAUUUCCAAGAUUCGGAAGCUACUGGAGGUAUGUGCUUUUAAAUAUAGAUGGAAAACUCAUUUCUUUAGAACUGAUUAUUGUUCAGUUUAUUGUCCUUACCCCGCACGGUUGGCUACAUAUGAUGCAAAAUAAAUUCUACAUACAGUACAUACGGGGUUGGUGAAUGACUUGAGAGGAAGCCCUGGGAAACAUCAACGUUCAGAGGUGGUGACAGUGCUAAAUUAGCACAUAGGCAAGCAGGAAUAUGUGCAGGGCCUUUUGAAAGGGGAGCCCAAAAACAAUAAAACUGGUGCCCAGAAAACUAUUCGUUCAGACAUGGGUGACAAGCAGAGCUGCUGCAUGAACACUACCAGAAUGGCAUGAUCUUACAUGCGUUCUUGUGACUAAAUCAACCUAAAUCCGAUCUCACCAGAUCUCCAAAGCUAAAUAGCGUUAAGCCUUGCUAUUUCUUGGAUGGCAGACUGCCCGGUGUUGUAGGCUUAGGCUACGGGGUGGACAUGAGUUUGUGGUGCAGCGCUGAAUUCUUGAAUUUAUUUGCGUGGGGUUUUUUUUUAUUAUGGUCGGAUUUCACACUUCAAGUCUAUUUUGUUCAAUUAGGUGAGAUCCCAAGAGACCAAGGAAGGUCUCAUUUGCAAGAGUGACCCGGGUCACAAAAAAUUACAAACGCGAUCACGUAAAAUGUACAGCAAUGAAGCAACCAGAAAUCGGAGAAAAACCCAGCGGCUAUGAAUCAAUGUAGAAACAAGCAAAUAUAAAUCAUGAGCCAAAACAAGCAAAAAG